CAAGAGCAUACACUUACAUUGCUGUAGUUAAAACGCUCGUAGUCUAUAGCAGAGUCUGCAAGAGCGGACAUUGUAGAGCAUAAGCAAGGCUGUCUCAGUCUGUUGUCUCCUCUACGGAGAAGACAUGCUACAAUGUAUCGCUCGCGCAGCACCUUAUCGUGAACAAAUCAGAGUGCUUCAAGCAAGUAUUGUCGCUUGAAUUGUAUUAGCAUGAAACAAGGGUUGACUAUUGUCUCGGCAGUAGUCACCACAGUAAUAGGAGGUCGAAGUAGGACCCUAGUAUUGCUAGCGCAGAGGUGAAAUUCCGACAUUCUAGCAAGACUGUCUAAUGCGAAAGCAGACAGUCUCUCACACCUCCUUUGA
rnacentral:rRNA from 1 species